rnacentral:rRNA from 1 species
AUUGAACGCCGGCGGCAGGCCUAACACAUGCAAGUCGGACGGUAGCACAGAGGAGCUUGCUCCUCGGGUGACGAGUGGCGGACGGGUGAGUAAUGUCUGGGGAUCUGCCCGAUAGAGGGGGAUAACCACUGGAAACGGUGGCUAAUACCGCAUAACGUCGCAAGACCAAAGAGGGGGACCUUCGGGCCUCUCACUAUCGGAUGAACCCAGAUGGGAUUAGCUAGUAGGCGGGGUAACGGCCCACCUAGGCGACGAUCCCUAGCUGGUCUGGGAGGAUGACCAGCCACACUGGGACUGAGACACGGUCCAGACUCCUACGGGAGGCAGCAGUGGGGAAUAUUGCACAAUGGGCGCAAGCCUGAUGCAGCCAUGCCGCGUGUAUAAAGAAGGCCUUCGGGUUGUAAAGUACUUUCAGCGGGGAGGAAGGCGAUGUGGUUAAUAACCGCAUUGAUUGACGUUACCCGCAGAAGAAGCACCGGCUAACUCCGUGCCAGCAGCCGCAGUAA